AUUGAACGCUGGCGGCUGGCCUAACACAUGCAAGUCGAACGGUAACAGGAAGAAGCUUGCUUCUUUGCUGACGAGUGGCGGACGGGUGAGUAAUGUCUGGGAAACUGCCUGAUGGAGGGGGAUAACUACUGGAAACGGUAGCUAAUACCGCAUAACGUCGCAAGACCAAAGAGGGGGACCUUCGUGCCUCUUGCCAUCGGAUGUGCCCAGAUGGGAUUAGCUAGUAGGUUGGGUAACGGCUCACCUAGGCGACGAGCCCUAGCUGGUCUGAGAGGAUGACCAGCCACACUGGAACGGAGACACGGUCCAGACUCCUACGGGAGGCAGCAGUGGGGAAUAUUGCACAAUGGGCGAAAGCCUGAUGCAGCCAUGCCGCGUGUAUGAAGAAGGCCUUCGGGUUGUAAAGUACUUUCAGCGGGGAGGAAGGGAGUAAAGUUAAUACCUUUGCUCAUUGACGUUACCCGCAGAAGAAGCACCGGCUAACUCCGUG
rnacentral:rRNA from 1 species